rnacentral:rRNA from 1 species
CUUGUGCCAGCAGCCGCGGUAAUACGAAGGGGGCUAGCGUUGUUCGGAUUUACUGGGCGUAAAGCGCACGUAGGCGGACUAUUAAGUCAGGGUGAAAUCCCGGGGCUCAACCCCGGAACUGCCUUUGAUACUGGUAGUCUCGAGUCCGGAAGAGGUGAGUGGAAUUCCGAGUGUAGAGGUGAAAUUCGUAGAUAUUCGGAGGAACACCAGUGGCGAAGGCGGCUCACUGGUCCGGUACUGACGCUGAGGUGCGAAAGCGUGG